rnacentral:rRNA from 1 species
UACGUAGGGAGCAAGCGUUGUUCGGAUUUACUGGGCGUAAAGGGCGCGUAGGCGGCGUGUCAAGUCGGAUUGUGAAAUCUCCGGGCUUAACUCGGAACGGCCAAUCGAUACUGACGUGCUAGAGUGCAGAAAGGGCAAUCGGAAUUCUUGGUGUGAGCGGUGAAAUGCGUAGAUAUCAAGAGGAACACCUGAGGCGAAGGCGGGUUGCUAGGCUGACACGUGACGCUGAGUGCGCGAAAGCCAGGGGAGCAAACGGG